CUACGUGCCAGCAGCCGCGGUAAUACGUAGGGCGCGAGCGUUGUCCGGAAUUAUUGGGCGUAAAGAGCUUGUAGGCGGUUUGUCGCGUCUGCUGUGAAAGGCCGGGGCUUAACUCCGUGUAUUGCAGUGGGUACGGGCAGACUAGAGUGCAGUAGGGGAGACUGGAAUUCCUGGUGUAGCGGUGGAAUGCGCAGAUAUCAGGAGGAACACCGAUGGCGAAGGCAGGUCUYUGGGCUGUAACUGACGCUGAGAAGCGAAAGCAUGGGGAGCGAACAGGAUUAGAUACCCUGGUAGUCCAUGCCGUAAACGUUGGGCACUAGGUGUGGGGAACAUUCCACGUUUUCCGCGCCGUAGCUAACGCAUUAAGUGCCCCGCCUGGGGAGUACGGCCGCAAGGCUAAAACUCAAAGAAAUUGACGGGGGCCCGCACAAGCGGCGGAGCAUGCGGAUUAAUUCGAUGCAACGCGAAGAACCUUACCAAGGCUK
rnacentral:rRNA from 1 species